UACGUAGGUGGCAAGCGUUAUCCGGAUUUAUUGGGCGUAAAGGGAACGCAGGCGGUCUUUUAAGUCUGAUGUGAAAGCCUUCGGCUUAACCGGAGUAGUGCAUCGGAAACUGGGUGACUUGAGUGCAGAAGAGGAGAGUGGAACUCCAUGUGUAGCGGUGAAAUGCGUAGAUAUAUGGAAGAACACCAGUGGCGAAAGCGGCUCUCUGGUCUGUAACUGACGCUGAGGUUCGAAAGCGUGGGUAGCAAACAGG
rnacentral:rRNA from 1 species